GACACAGCGCCACCUAGUGGUCAGGAGAUAUGAAAAAUGCAUAUUUUGGCUUAUAACUACUGAAUGGUUUGGCCAAAAAUCACACAACUGGUCUCUUUAGAUUCAGUGAGUCAUGUCGAGUCAAAUGAUAUCCAAUUUUCCUGUGUCGGCCAUUUUAGGCGUCGGCCAUUUUGAAUUAUGAUUUAAAAUGCUGUAUUUUUUGAACGCAGCAUCGUAUCGUUUCGCAAAUAAUUACAAAAAUAUUCGGCUCCAUGCCCUGAAGGUACUCAAAAAGUUUGGUGGCAGCGCCACCUUGUGGCCAAUAGUUAUAAUGAAAUAUCACAUAAAUGCUAAUAACUUUUGAAUAAAUUAGUCUAUUAAAAUUAAAAUGGUCUCGCUAUAUUCUGUGGGUCAUGCCGAGAGUAUUGAUACCAAUAAUGUGAAAAUUGGCCUUACUUCCUGUCCGCCAUUUUGCUUAAUGUUGAAAACCUACUUUUUCGAACUCCUCCUAGACCGUUAGCCCAAUUUUCACCAAAUUUGACGUGCAUCAUCUUCAGACCAUGCUGGCAAAAAGUUAUGGAUUUUGUGUCGAUAUACGUAACGGUUCUCAUUUAGCGCAUCAACGAAUUUGCUGGAAGGGUGCCAAAAUGCAUUUGAGGCUGUAUCUCUGCAACACUUUGACAUAUUUGCACCAAACUUUGUAUGUGUCAUCGCCACCUCACACUGACCAUGCCACAUAAAUUUGGUAACAGCGCCACCUAUUGGUCAAGAGUAAUAAACCAUUCAUUAACCAUGAGUAAUUACACUUUUUAAAAUGCUAAUAACUUUUUAAUGCAUUAGCCUAUUUGAAGGAAACUGGGCUCAAAAUAUUCCCUGGCUUAUGCCGAUAACAUAGAUACCAAAUAUACCACGGUAAGCUGAACUUCCGGUCCGCCAUUUUGAUUUAUGUUGAAAACAUACUUUUUCGAACUCCUGAUCAACCGUAUGUCCGAUUUUCACCAAAUUCGAAUCAAAUGAUCUUCAGGCUAUACUGAUUCAAAGUUAUGGAUUUUGAGUCGAUAGACAAAACUGUUUUCGCAUACCACAUCGACGAAUUUGAGGCACAAUGAGAAAAUGACACUUGAGGCUGUAUCCCUGGAAUGCUUUGGCAUAUUGACACCAAACUUUGUGUGUGUCAUUGAAAAGACACACAGAGUACACCAAAUUGAUUUUAUAACAGUGUCACCUAUUGGUCAAGCUUGAUAAACCAAGUAAUCAUGCUACUAGAGGUGGUAUUGGUGUUUUUUUUUUUUGCCAUUUCAAAUACAAUAAUUCCAAAAUUGCUGUUAUUGCUCAUUAAUGUAUUUGGUGUGAUGCUUUAUGCGAUGCUUAGCUACUACAUUUGCCGUUGGAGUGCUUGGCCCCGUAAUUGCUGCUUGCAGCUAUAUUUAGGGGCCAAGCACCGAAGGUGCGUAGGCACCUAUUGUUUUCGUUGGCGUUAUUAUUAGGGGCCAAGCACCGAAGGUGCGUAGGCACCUAUUGUAAUCGUUGGCGUUAUUAUUAUUCUGCUUCUUCUUCUUCUUCUUCUUCUUCUUCUUCCGCCGCAAGUCUAUGGCAGCCCAUAGAACCGAUUGCGGGAAAGUUGUAUAAUUUGGCACACUGAUAGAGGACAGUCCCAACAUUAACUAUAGCUAAUUUGAAGUCUCUAACUCCUACUCUCUAGCGCCACCACUUGUCCAAACUUUCAAUGUUUGUAUGCUAAUAACUUUUGAACCGUAAGCCAGAAAAUGGAAAUUCUUUUUUCCUCUGAAUCCUUGGCUCAUGCCAAGUCGAAUGAACCCCAAAAUUCAAAAAUCGCAAGGUUUAGUUUUUUCGCUAUUUUCAAUUUUUCGAAAAACCUACUUUUUCGAACUCGUGCUAGACGGUUAGUCCGAUUGCCACGAAAAUUGGCUCAGAUCAUCUUCAGAUCAUGCUGGCAAAAAGUUAUGGAAUUCAAGUUGAUUCGUCCAACCAUUGUCGAAUGACACGUAAACAAAUUUGACGAAAAGCACGCAAAAAUGCACUUGAGGCUAUAUCUCAGCAACGGUUUGGCAUAUUGAAACCAAACUUGGUGUGUGUUAUAAUAAGCAUGACCUGAGACUACCUGCAGUGUUUCGACACAGCGCCACCUAGUGGUCAGGAGAUAUGAAAAAUGCAUAUUUUGGCUUAUAUCUUCUGAAUGGUUUGGCCAAAAAUCACACAACUGGUCUCUUUAGAUUCAGUGAGUCAUGUCGAGUCGUAUGAUAUGCAAAUUUCCCGUGUCAGCCAUUUUAGGCGUCGGCCAUUUUGAAUUAUGUUUUAAAAUGCUGUAUUUUUUCAACGCAGCAUCAUAUCGUUUCGCAAAUAAUUACAAAAAUAUUCGGCUCCAUGCCCUGAAUGUACUCAAAAAGUUUGGUGGCAGCGCCACCUUGUGGUCAAGAGUUAUAAUGAAUUAUAACAAAAAUGCUAAUAACUUUUGAGUAAAUUAGACAAUUGAAAUGCAAAUGGUCUCCCCGUAUUCUUUGGGUCAUGCCGAGAACAUAGAUACCAAUUAUGCCAAAAUUGGCCAUACUUCCUGUCCGCCAUUUUGAUUAAUGUUGAAAACCUACUUUUUCGAACUCCUCCUAGACCGUUAGUCCGAUUUUCACCAAAUUUGACGUGAAUCAUCUUCAGACCAUGCUGGCAAAAAGUUAUGGAUUUCGUGUCGAUAUACAAAACGAUUCUGAUUUAGCGCAUCAACGAAUUUGCUGGAAGGGUGCCAAAAUGCAUUUGAGGCUGUAUCUCUGCAACGCUUUGACAUUUUUGCACCAAACUUUGUAUGUGUCAUCGCCACCUGACACUGACCAUGCCACAUAAAUUUGGUAACAGCGCCACCUAUUGGUCAAGAGUAAUGAACCAUUCAUUAACUAUGAAUAAUUACACUUAUAAAAAUGCUAGUAACUUUUUAAUGCAUUAGCCUAUUGUAAUGAAACUGGCCUCAAAAUAUUCCCUGGCUUAUGCCGACAACAUAGAUACCAUAUAUGCCAGAGUAAGCCGAACUUCCUGUCCGCCAUUUUGAUUUAUGUUGAAAACCUACUUUUUCGAACUCCUCAUCAACCGUUGGUCCGAUUUUCACCAAAAUUGACUCAGAUGAUCUGUAGACUGUACUGACAAAAUGUUAUGGAUUUUGUAUCGAUAGACAAAACCGUUUUCGCAUACCACAGCGACGAAUUUGAGGCACAAUGCCAAAAUGACACUUGAGGCUGUAUCUCUGCAAUGCUUUGGCAUAUUGACACCAAACUUUGUUUGUGUCAUUGAAAAGUCACACAGAGUACACCAAAUUGACUUGAUAACAGCACCACCUAUUGGUCAAUUUUGAUAAGCCAGUAAAUCAUGCUACUAGAGGUUGUAUUUAUGAUUUUUUUAGCCAUUUCAAUUACAAUCAUCCUAAAAUUGCUGUUAUUGCUCAUUAAUGCAUUUGGUGUGAUGCUCCAUGCCAUGCUUAGCUCCUACAUUUGCCGUUGGAGUGCUUGGCCCCGUAAUUGCUGCUUGCAGCUAUAUUUAUUAUUAUUAUUCUUCCUCUUCUUCCACCCCAAGUCUAUGGUAGCCCAUAGAACCGAUUGCGGGAAAGUUGUAUAAUUUGGCACACUAAUAGAAGACUGUCUGAACAUUAACCGUAGCAAAUUUGAAGUCUCUAACUCAAACUCUCUAGCGCCACCAAUUGUCUAAACUUUCAAAAAAUUGAUGCUAAUAACUCUUGAACCGUAAGCCACAAAAUGAAAAUUCUUUUUUCCUGUGAUUCCUUGGCUCAUGCCGAGUCGAAUGGACACCGAAAUUCAAAAAUCGCAAGGCUUAGUUUUUUCGCUAUCGUCAAUUGUUCGUAAAACCUACUUUUUCGAACUCGUCCUAGGCCGUUGCACCGAUUGUCACGAAAAUUGAAUCAGAUAAUCUUCAGACCAUGCUGGCAAAAAGUUAUGGAAUUCAAGUUGAUUUCUCAAACCGUUUCCGAAUAGCUCAUGAACGAAUUCUUCGAAAAGCACGCAAACGUGAACGUGAGGCUAUAUCUCCGCAACGGUUUGGCCUAUUGAGACCAAUCUUGGUGGGUCUUAUAACAACCAUUCCCUGGGACUACCUGCAGUGUUUCGGCGCUGUGCCCCCUAGUGGU